rnacentral:rRNA from 1 species
CCUUCAGGAGACGGAUCUGCGUCCUACCAGAUAGUUGGCGGGGUAACGGCCCACCAAGUCUAAGACGGGUAGCGGGUGUGAGAGCAUGACCCGCAUCACUGGGACUGAGACACUGCCCAGACACCUACGGGUGGCUGCAGUCGAGAAUCUUCGUCAAUGGGCGAAAGCCUGAACGAGCGAUGCCGCGUGCGGGAUGGAGGCCUUCGGGUUGUAAACCGCUGUCGAAUUGGAGGAAAUGCAUAGUGUAGAAUUAUGCUUGACUGAUAGUAGAAGGAAGGACGGGCUAAGUUCGUGCCAGCAGCCGCGGUAACACGAACCGUCCAAACGUUAUUCGGAAUCACUGGGCUUAAAGGGUGCGUAGGCGGCGUUUUAAGUAAGGUGUGAAAUCCCACGUCUCAACCGUGGAACUGCGCUUUAUACUGGAAUGCUUGAGUAAGAUAGAGGUAAGCGGAACUGAUAGUGGAGCGGUGAAAUGCGUUGAUAUUAUCAGGAACACCAGUGGCGAAGGCGACUUACUGGACUGUAACUGACGCUGAGGCGCGAAAGUGUGGGGAGCAAACAGGAUUAGAUACCCUGGUAGUCCACACUGUAAACGAUGAAUGCUAGGUGUAGGAGGGAUUCACCCCCUCCUGUGCCGGAGUUAACGCAAUAAGUACCCCGCCUGGGGAGUACGUCGGCAACGAUGAAACUCAAAGGAAUUGACGGGGGCCCGCACAAGCGGUGGAGUAUGUGGUUUAAUUCGACGCAACGCGAAGAACCUUACCAAGGCUUGACAUUGAAUGACCACCUCAGAGAUGAGGUUUUCCCUUCGGGGACAUGAAAACAGGUGGUGCAUGGCUGUCGUCAGCUCGUGUCGUGAGAUGUUGGGUUAAGUCCCGCAACGAGCGCAACCCCUAUCCUAUGUUACCAGCACGUGAUGGUGGGGACUCAUAGGAGACUGCCAAGGACAACUUGGAGGAAGGCGGGGAUGACGUCAAGUCAUCAUGCCCCUUAUGUCUUGGGCUACACACGUACUACAAUGGUCGGCAACAGAGGGAAGCGAAGCCGCGAGGCAGAGCAAACCCCAGAAACCCGAUCUCAGUUCGGAUCGCAGGCUGCAACCCGCCUGCGUGAAGUCGGAAUCGCUAGUAAUCGCAGGUCAGCAUACUGCGGUGAGUACGAUCCCGGGCCUUGCACUCACCGCCCGUCA